AUGUAUCUGUCAGAACUAUGGACUUGUCUAUGUGUUUUUUCCCCUGUUACCCAGUUUCUGGCGAAAAUUGGAUCUCCGUUCCCCACCUGUUCCCAGGGAUUGAUCGCCAGUUCCACUCCCGACCCAGAGCCCAGCCCACCAUCUCCCCACAGUACGGAGCAUAAGUCCGAGCCCACUGAUGAUGGAGAGCCAAAGCCCAACCCAUCAGACCAGGUGCGAGAGCCGGUGACAGUGUCCACCAUGAGGGAGCAAGCCGUGGACAGUGUGAGUGCGGAGAGGAACUCCGCCCCCUGCACUGCGGCUGAGGCCCUCCUUCGUCCUUGGUUUCCUCAUGCAGCCCUGAGGGGGCUUCCGAUACUCCAGUGCCCAGGACCCUGCCCCCCCGGAUCCUCAGCAUCCCCCUGGCACGUUGGCUCUCCGUCUCCACCUCGGGUUCCUCCUCCACCUGCUCCGCCGCCGUUGUUCGGCCCACUGGAGUCGGCGGCCAUUCCUACUCCAUGGAUCCUCCCACCGUCGGCUCCACCUUGGGCCGUCAUUAUGGCUGUGGCGACCGUCGGCUCGACCUUGGGCCGUCAUUAUGGCUGUGGCCUGGCUCCUCCUGCUCCAAGCUCCUCCCUCUGUCGUCUCCUCCUGGCUCCUCCCUCCGUCGUCUCUGUCUGCCGGCCCCCUCCCUGGAGUCCGUAUGCCUCCUCCUGUUGUUGCCUACGCACCUUCUGGGAGGGGGGUGAAAUGUCAGAACUAUGGACUUGUCUCUAUGUUUUUUGUUUUUUUUCCCCCUGUUAUCCAAUUUCUGUGUCUCCUUGAUUGUUGAUUAGUUCCCAGGUGUGUCUCCUUAGUGCCCAGAUGUGUCUCCUUAGCUCACUCGUUAUCCUGCCUUUUAAAUAUCCUUUUCCUUUCAGCUCAUUUUGGUCGGGUCUACCAGUUAAGAGUCAAGUAUGUGUGUCUUCCUCCUGUUCUCCAUGUUGGAUUUACCCCUGUGUUGGACUAAUAAGACUCUUUCGAUUAUCCUCGGCUCAGUGUUCCUUCCGGCAGCAUAUAGUAUGACAGUAUCAUAAGUCUCAUAUCUUGACAUCUUUAUUAUGCUACUUAAAGCAAACAAAUAUCACUUGUAAGUAAUAAUAAUAAUUUUUUUCUCAAAAAAAGCCAUAAGAUCAGAUAUCAGAUCACAUGAAUGUGUAAUAUAACACAUUUGCUUUAAACUAUUUUUAUUGUAAUAUCGGUUUGAUUAUUUUGAUGCUACCCUUUAAACAGCUGUUGAUAAGUAACUCUGCAACUACAAAUCAACUAGCUGUAAAUAUAUAUGCUAACACUUUAUUUUGAUGGUCCACCAACAGACAUACUGACUAUAAGCAACUUUGCAAGUAUGUCAACAUUCUACCUACCCUAACCUUCACCUAAGUCUACUAAUACUCUAAUGAGAGUUAGCUGACAUGUAGCUGCAAAGUUGCUUAUAGUCAAUAGACAAAGGGGACCAU
ensembl:lncRNA